UACGUAGGGUGCGAGCGUUAAUCGGAAUUACUGGGCGUAAAGCGUGCGCAGGCGGUUUUGUAAGCCCGAUGUGAAAUCCCCGGGCUUAACCUGGGAAUGGCAUUUGGGACUGCAAGGCUUGAGUGCGGCAGAGGAGACUGGAAUUCCUGGUGUAGCAGUGAAAUGCGUAGAUAUCAGGAGGAACACCGAUGGCGAAGGCAGGUCUCUGGGCUGACACUGACGCUCAUGCACGAAAGCGUGGGGAGCAAACAGG
rnacentral:rRNA from 1 species